AAGUAACAGGAGAAAAUCUAGGUGACCUUUGGUUUAGCAAUGAGUUUUUAAAUACAAGAUUGAAAAGCUCCCUCCUCCCAACCCGCUCCCUCCUCUUUCUGUUGGUUCCUCUCCUCUCUGACCUGUUUUUUUCCCUUAGUCUCUCCCCAGCCCUUCCGUGUGUGUGUGUUUGUGUGUGUGUGUGUGUGUAUGAGACAGAGAGAGAAACUGCGUGUCGUCCAGAGGCUGGGUCUGUGAAUGAAUGUGAAUGUGUCCAUGUGUGUCCGUGUGGGUCAUGUGUGGUAGCGUGUGUGUGUGUGUGUGUCCCACUUCUUCAGAGUCUUGGUCUCUCUGUGGAGCUGUGUCUCUCCAGGUCUCUGCCUAUGCAUGUGUGGUGGUAUCUCUGAGUGACUGCCUGUGUCCUUGUCUUUGGUGU
rnacentral:lncRNA from 1 species